rnacentral:rRNA from 1 species
CCUACGGGAGGCAGCAGUGGGGAAUAUUGCACAAUGGGCGCAAGCCUGAUGCAGCCAUGCCGCGUGUGUGAAGAAGGCCUUCGGGUUGUAAAGCACUUUCAGCGGGGAGGAAGGCGGUGAGGUUAAUAACCUCAUCGAUUGACGUUACCCGCAGAAGAAGCACCGGCUAACUCCGUGCCGGCAGCCGCGGUAAUACGGAGGGUGCAAGCGUUAAUCGGAAUUACUGGGCGUAAAGCGCACGCAGGCGGUCUGUCAAGUCGGAUGUGAAAUCCCCGGGCUCAACCUGGGAACUGCAUUCGAAACUGGCAGGCUAGAGUCUUGUAGAGGGGGGUAGAAUUCCAGGUGUAGCGGUGAAAUGCGUAGAGAUCUGGAGGAAUACCGGUGGCGAAGGCGGCCCUCUGGACAAAGACUGACGCUCAGGUGCGAAAGCGUGGGGAGCAAACAGGAUUAGAUACCCCAGUAGUC